CAUAUGUGCAUACAGUGGUAGCAAGCUCCAGCCACUCAAGGAUUACAUUUAAAAUGAACAGAUAACACUUGUGAGCCCUCUGAUGGAAGAGAUGUUAAACUCAAUAAAAUGGUAAUUUAUUUUAGCACUGUGAUUUGCAAAAACCAUUUGGUUAUUUGGAGUAAAUCUGGCUCUUUGGAUUGCUUAAAUAUUCAGUAUUCAGAAUGCCUGUGGCAGCACUUUCCUGCCCCUAUGAGCUUCAGUCCAGGAAAACAAGCCUGGUUUGAUGCCCUUCUUGAGAGCACAAAACUGUUUCAUAUAAACUAUAUUUCUGAUUUUCUUCUGCUCCAAGAAGAGUUUGAGUACUGGUUCUUGAGUAUGGUGAAUCUGCAAUGGGAAACUCACUGUACAGGAGAGUGGAAGAGGAAGAAGCACCCUCACCAACAUCCUUUAAAAAUAUGGAGACCAGAACAGCAGACUAUUGCAAUAACAAUCACACAGAGAUGCUCAUGCUUCCCAGCUGUACCCGGCAUGGAGCCUAUCUGAAUGUGCCAGGGUGAGUGCAGGGGGAGCUCUGCACAAAUUCUUCUUCUUGUCUCCAAGAAGGCAGUGGCCAGGUGGAGCAACUUGUGGACCAUUUUUGACCUAGGGGUGUCCUUCCUUAUCCUUCACUAACAGGCAGGAGGAAGAGGAGGAGAAGGAUAAGAAGGAGGAGGAGCAGAAGGUAUUACCUGGCACUGGACCAGGCGUCUGCUGCAGACCAUGGAGAAUCCCAUGCCAUUGCACAUGGUUAUUCCCAAAGGAGCUGCUGCCAUGAAGAGCACAUGCUGGAGCAAAGAUGUGAGAAGGAGGGAGGAGCAGAGAGAAGCUGCUGCAUUCUGUUUGUGACUGCCCGCUAUGCCCAGCAUUGUUCGGUGGCGGUCACUGGAGAGAAGGGGUGUCACUGACUCUGUAGAAAGGAAGAGAAAUGUUGUUUUAAUGUUUGUCUUUACCAGCACC